GGACGAACGCUGGCGGCGUGCCUAAUACAUGCAAGUCGAGCGCGGGAAGCAAGCUGAAGCCUCGGGUGGACGGUUGUGGAACGAGCGGCGGAUGGGUGAGUAACACGUGGGCAACCUGCCUGUAAGAUUGGGAUAACUUGCGGAAACGUGAGCUAAUACCAAAUAAAGCUUUUCAUCCCCUGAUGAGAAGAUGAAAGAUGGCUCCGGCUAUCACUUACAGAUGGGCCCGUGGCGCAUUAGCUAGUUGGUAGGAUAAAAGCUUACCAAGGCAACGGUGCGUAGCCGACCUGAGAGGGUGAUCGGCCACACUGGGACUGAGACACGGCCCAGACUCCUACGGGAGGCAGCAGUAGGGAAUCUUCCGCAAUGGACGCAAGUCUGACGGAAGCAACGCCGCGUGAGUGAUGAAGGUUUUCGGAUCGUAAAACUCUGUUGUUAGGGAAGAACAAGUACCGUUCGAAUAGGUCGGUACCUUGACGGUACCUAACCAGAAAGCCCCGGCUAACUACGUGCCAGCCGCCGC
rnacentral:rRNA from 1 species